rnacentral:rRNA from 1 species
UACGUAGGGUGCAAGCGUUGUCCGGAUUUAUUGGGUUUAAAGGGAGCGUAGGUGGCUUUUUAAGUCAUGGGUGAAAGCCCGCAGCUCAACUGUGGAAUUGCCUGUGAUACUGAGGAGCUUGAGUGCGGUUGGGGCAGCUGGAAUUGGUGGUGUAGCGGUGAAAUGCAUAGAUACCACCAGGAACACCGAUUGCGAAGGCAGGUUGCUAAGCCGUAACUGACACUGAGGGACGAAAGCGUGGGGAGCAAACAGG